GGGUUGUGAGGUUAAGCGACUAAGCGUACACGGUGGAUGCCCUGGCAGUCAGAGGCGAUGAAGGACGUGCUAAUCUGCGAAAAGCGCCGGCGAGGUGAUAUGAACCUUUGACCCGGCGAUGUCCGAAUGGGGAAACCCAGUGUGUUCCGACACACUAUCGUUAACUGAAUACAUAGGUUAACGAGGCGAACCGGGGGAACUGAAACAUCUAAGUACCCCGAGGAAAAGAAAUCAACCGAGAUUCCCCCAGUAGCGGCGAGCGAACGGGGAGCAGCCCAGAGUCUGAAUCAGCUUGUGUGUUAGUGGAAGCGUCUGGAAAGUCGCACGGUACAGGGUGACAGUCCCGUACACGAAAGCACACAGGCUGUGAACUCGAAGAGUAGGGCGGGACACGUGGUAUCCUGUCUGAAUAUGGGGGGACCAUCCUCCAAGGCUAAAUACUCCUGACUGACCGAUAGUGAACCAGUACCGUGAGGGAAAGGCGAAAAGAACCCCGGCGAGGGGAGUGAAAAAGAACCUGAAACCGUGUACGUACAAGCAGUGGGAGCCUCUUUAUGGGGUGACUGCGUACCUUUUGUAUAAUGGGUCAGCGACUUAUAUUCUGUAGCAAGGUUAACCGUAUAGGGGAGCCGAAGGGAAACCGAGUCUUAACUGGGCGUUAAGUUGCAGGGUAUAGACCCGAAACCCGGUGAUCUAGCCAUGGGCAGGUUGAAGGUUGGGUAACACUAACUGGAGGACCGAACCGACUAAUGUUGAAAAAUUAGCGGAUGACUUGUGGCUGGGGGUGAAAGGCCAAUCAAACCGGGAGAUAGCUGGUUCUCCCCGAAAGCUAUUUAGGUAGCGCCUCGUGAACUCAUCUUCGGGGGUAGAGCACUGUUUCGGCUAGGGGGCCAUCCCGGCUUACCAACCCGAUGCAAACUACGAAUACCGAAGAAUGUUAUCACGGGAGACACACGGCGGGUGCUAACGUCCGUCGUGAAGAGGGAAACAACCCAGACCGCCAGCUAAGGUCCCAAAGUCAUGGUUAAGUGGGAAACGAUGUGGGAAGGCACAGACAGCCAGGAUGUUGGCUUAGAAGCAGCCAUCAUUUAAAGAAAGCGUAAUAGCUCACUGGUCGAGUCGGCCUGCGCGGAAGAUGUAACGGGGCUAAACCAUGCACCGAAGCUGCGGCAGCGACGCUUAUGCGUUGUUGGGUAGGGGAGCGUUCUGUAAGCCGUUGAAGGUGUCCUGUGAGGGGUGCUGGAGGUAUCAGAAGUGCGAAUGCUGACAUAAGUAACGAUAAAGCGGGUGAAAAGCCCGCUCGCCGGAAGACCAAGGGUUCCUGUCCAACGUUAAUCGGGGCAGGGUGAGUCGACCCCUAAGGCGAGGCCGAAAGGCGUAGUCGAUGGGAAACAGGUUAAUAUUCCUGUACUUGGUGUUACUGCGAAGGGGGGACGGAGAAGGCUAUGUUAGCCGGGCGACGGUUGUCCCGGUUUAAGCAUGUAGGCGGAGGUUCCAGGUAAAUCCGGUUCCUUGUUAACGCUGAGGUGUGAUGACGAGGCACUACGGUGCUGAAGUAACAAAUGCCCUGCUUCCAGGAAAAGCCUCUAAGCAUCAGGUAACACGAAAUCGUACCCCAAACCGACACAGGUGGUCAGGUAGAGAAUACCAAGGCGCUUGAGAGAACUCGGGUGAAGGAACUAGGCAAAAUGGUGCCGUAACUUCGGGAGAAGGCACGCUGAUAUGUAGGUGAAGCCCCUGCGGGUGGAGCUGAAAUCAGUCGAAGAUACCAGCUGGCUGCAACUGUUUAUUAAAAACACAGCACUGUGCAAACACGAAAGUGGACGUAUACGGUGUGACGCCUGCCCGGUGCCGGAAGGUUAAUUGAUGGGGUUAGCGGUAACGCGAAGCUCUUGAUCGAAGCCCCGGUAAACGGCGGCCGUAACUAUAACGGUCCUAAGGUAGCGAAAUUCCUUGUCGGGUAAGUUCCGACCUGCACGAAUGGCGUAAUGAUGGCCAGGCUGUCUCCACCCGAGACUCAGUGAAAUUGAACUCGCUGUGAAGAUGCAGUGUACCCGCGGCAAGACGGAAAGACCCCGUGAACCUUUACUAUAGCUUGACACUGAACACUGGUCCUUGAUGUGUAGGAUAGGUGGGAGGCUUUGAAGCGUGGACGCCAGUCUGCGUGGAGCCAACCUUGAAAUACCACCCUUUAAUGGCUGGUGUUCUAACGUAGACCCGUAAUCCGGGUUGCGGACAGUGUCUGGUGGGUAGUUUGACUGGGGCGGUCUCCUCCCAAAGAGUAACGGAGGAGCACGAAGGUUAGCUAAUCCUGGUCGGACAUCAGGAGGUUAGUGCAAUGGCAUAAGCUAGCUUGACUGCGAGAGUGACGGCUCGAGCAGGUGCGAAAGCAGGUCAUAGUGAUCCGGUGGUUCUGAAUGGAAGGGCCAUCGCUCAACGGAUAAAAGGUACUCCGGGGAUAACAGGCUGAUACCGCCCAAGAGUUCAUAUCGACGGCGGUGUUUGGCACCUCGAUGUCGGCUCAUCACAUCCUGGGGCUGAAGUAGGUCCCAAGGGUAUGGCUGUUCGCCAUUUAAAGUGGUACGCGAGCUGGGUUUAGAACGUCGUGAGACAGUUCGGUCCCUAUCUGCCGUGGGCGCUGGAGAAUUGAGGGGGGCUGCUCCUAGUACGAGAGGACCGGAGUGGACGCAUCACUGGUGUUCGGGUUGUCAUGCCAAUGGCACUGCCCGGUAGCUAAAUGCGGAAGAGAUAAGUGCUGAAAGCAUCUAAGCACGAAACUUGCCCCGAGAUGAGUUCUCCCUGAGACUUUAAGUCUCCUGAAGGAACGUUGAAGACUACGACGUUGAUAGGUCGGGUGUGUAAGCGCAGCGAUGCGUUGAGCUAACCGAUACUAAUGAACCGUGAGGCUUAACCUUACAACGCCGAAG
rnacentral:rRNA from 2 species